rnacentral:rRNA from 1 species
AGAGUUUGAUCCUGGCUCAGAAUGAACGUUGGCGGCGUGGAUUAGGCAUGCAAGUCGAACGAGCCUCUGGGGGGUAACUCCUAGAGGAAAGUGGCGAAAGGGGCAGUAAUGUAUGGGUAACCUACCUUGAGGUCUGGGAUAGCUAUUCUAACGGAUAGGUAAUACCGGACGGCCUGAGUUGUCGGCAUCGAUGAUUUAGUAAAGGUUACGCCUCGAGAGGGGCCCAUAUGAUAUUAGCUAGUUGGUGAGGUAAUGGCUCACCAAGGCAAAGAUGUCUAGCGGGUGUGAGAGCACGACCCGCGUCACUGGCACUGAGACACUGGCCAGACUCCUACGGGAGGCUGCAGUCGAGGAUCUUCGGCAAUGGACGCAAGUCUGACCGAGCAACGCCGCGUGUGCGAUGAAGGCCUUCGGGUUGUAAAGCACUGUCGUGGGGAAACAAGCCGUAAGGUUGAGUGACCCCUGGAGGAAGCACGGGCUAAGUUCGUGCCAGCAGCCGCGGUAAGACGAACCGUGCAAACGUUAUUCGGAAUCACUGGGCUUAAAGGGCGCGUAGGCGGGUAAUCAAGUCAAUGGUGAAAGCCUCCAGCUUAACUGGAGAAGUGCCUUUGAUACUGAUUGUCUAGAGUGAGGUAGGGGCAUGUGGAACUUCCGGUGGAGCGGUGAAAUGCGUAGAUAUCGGAAGGAACGCCAGUGGCGAAAGCGAUGUGCUGGACCUUUUCUGACGCUGAGGCGCGAAAGCUAGGGGAUCAAACGGGAUUAGAUACCCUGGUAGUCC